rfam:Triticum urartu cultivar G1812 contig778430, whole genome shotgun sequence.
CUAGUACUCCCUCUGUCCAAAAAUACUUUCAUCAAAAUGGACAAAAGAGGAUGUAUCUAGAACUAAAAUACAUCUAGAUACAUCCCCUUUUAUUCAUUUUGAUGACAAGUAUUUCCGGACGGAGGUAGUACUAA